GUCUUUUGCUGCCACGCUGCCCUGUAGACCCUGAUUCACCCGGCAUCAAUAAAAUAAAAUAAAAUAUAACGAAAAAUAUUUUUGCUGCCAGGUGAAUCAGGUGUUUUGCAGGGUAGUGCAGUUGCAAAAGAU